UUCAUACUCCCUCCGGCCUAAAAUUCUUGUCUUAGGUUUGUCUAGGAAUGAAUGUAUCAAAAUACUAAAACGUCACUGGAUACAUUCAUAUCUAAAUAAAUCUAAGACAANNNNNUUGAGACGGAGGGAGUAUUAU
rfam:Hordeum vulgare subsp. vulgare, WGS project CAJW01000000 data, contig: morex_contig_5869